rnacentral:lncRNA from 1 species
GUUACUUUCUCACUUGUUUAAAAAAAUGACCUUCAACCUCAAAGGUAGAGAUUAUGUGCUUUUACAACAAGUUUCUACUAAAUAACAAUGGAUUGAAAUAGAACAAUCCUCAGAACUGAUUGGAGACAUCACUAUAUAAACCCGCAAACUGUGUCCACUCACCUGUUGUGCAGAAAGCCAAUCACAGACACUGGUGUGGUGGAAGAAAGGAGGUGGUGAUUGCAAACUACAGAGCCAGCAGCUCCCUCUUGAUUCCCAGGCUCCUCAAGGUAAUACUGGAUUCAUCAAGAAGAUAGAAUUAGGCUCAUGGACUGGAGGCCACACCCCCUUGCCCCAAGCGUGAUCUCACGUGUAUCCACUCACCUGUCAAUCAGACUACAUAACCAGUAGCCACGCCCCUUUUGGAAGUGGAUAAGAGGCUAGAGUGCGCUGGGCCUGCUCCCUGCUCUCCUGGGCACCUCUUGCACUGGGCCGUUUCCCAGCUUCUCGUGCCUGCUCUCCUGCACCUCUGCCGGCUACCGCACUCCCGCCCAUGCGCGGUCUCGCUUGCAGUCUCUGGGCUUCUCCCUGGAAAAGGCAGCGGAUUCCUGCUACACAGCAACCUGCUUGAAAUCGCAUCAGAGAUGAACACCACAUUCAACAUCCGCCUUGCCACAAUGACCCAGUUUCCAUGGCAGAGGUGAUGGGCUAUGAGCUUAUAAGAAAUAAGGCCUGGACCAGGGAUGCGGAUGCCUUAAUGCACAAGCACUAAAACCACUUCUCAGAAUGAAUUGAAAUGAAGCAAAGCUGUGCCCUUCUAAGAUCCUAUCAAGGAAAUAAAAGAUGCAACAGAGAAAAGUGUUGGAUUACU